rnacentral:rRNA from 1 species
GAGUUUUGAUCCUGGCUCAGGAUGAACGCUAGCUACAGGCUUAACACAUGCAAGUCGAGGGGAAACGGACAUCGAAAGCUUGCUUUUGAUGGGCGUCGACCGGCGCACGGGUGAGUAACGCGUAUCCAACCUGCCCACCACUUGGGGAUAACCUUGCGAAAGUAAGACUAAUACCCAAUGACGUCUCUAGAAGACAUCUGAAGGAGAUUAAAGAUUUAUCGGUGAUGGAUGGGGAUGCGUCUGAUUAGCUUGUUGGGCGGGGUAACGGCCCACCAAGGCGACGAUCAGGUAGGGGUUCUGAGAGGACGGUCCCCCACAUUGGAACUGAGACACGGUCCAAACUCCGUACGGGAGGCA